rnacentral:rRNA from 1 species
GCAGUCGAGGGGUAUAGGUUUUCGGGCCUAGAGACCGGCGCACGGGUGCGUAACGCGUAUGCAAUCUACCUUUUACAGAGGGAUAGCCCAGAGAAAUUUGGAUUAAUACCUCAUAGUAUAAUGACUCGGCAUCGAGAUAUUAUUAAAGUCACAACGGUAAAAGAUGAGCAUGCGUCCCAUUAGCUAGUUGGUAAGGUAACGGCUUACCAAGGCAACGAUGGGUAGGGGUCCUGAGAGGGAGAUCCCCCACACUGGUACUGAGACACGGACCAGACUCCUACGGGAGGCAGCAGUGAGGAAUAUUGGUCAAUGGGCGCAAGCCUGAACCAGCCAUGCCGCGUGCAGGAUGACGGUCCUAUGGAUUGUAAACUGCUUUUGCACAGGAAGAAACACUCGGACGUGUCCGAGCUUGACGGUACUGUGAGAAUAAGGAUCGGCUAACUCCGUGCCAGCAGCCGCGGUAAUACGGAGGAUCCAAGCGUUAUCCGGAAUCAUUGGGUUUAAAGGGUCCGUAGGCGGUUUAGUAAGUCAGUGGUGAAAGCCCAUCGCUCAACGGUGGAACGGCCAUUGAUACUGCUAGACUUGAAUUAUUGGGAAGCAACUAGGAUAUGUAGUGUAGCGGUGAAAUGCUUAGAGAUUACAUGGAAUACCAAUUGCGAAGGCAGGUUGCUACCAAUACAUUGACGCUGAUGGACGAAAGCGUGGGGAGCGAACAGGAUUAGAUACCCUGGUAGUCCACGCCGUAAACGAUGGAUACUAGCUGUUCGGAGCAAUCUGAGUGGCUAAGCGAAAGUGAUAAGUAUCCCACCUGGGGAGUACGUUCGCAAGAAUGAAACUCAAAGGAAUUGACGGGGGCCCGCACAAGCGGUGG